ACAGUAUAAGCUUGAAUCUAUCAAACGUACUUUAUACAGGUAUAAACUCUCAUUUGUAGGGAACUCACCUAUUUAUAACUUUGGGGCUGAACUCUCCUAUGAUUAUUAAACUCUACAUCUCUGACCAUUGUCAUCCACUGUUGAUUAGGUCAUUGUCUCUCCUUUGUCUUCUGCGUUUUAUCCUUCCCCUGACAUGUUUCCAAGUUAGUUUUAUCCUUUCUAGCUGUGUAACUACACUGAGGUUUGUAAUUCUGACAUAGCCCUACUAACUAGUACAGUUAUUUCUUAACAGACCUCACAGCAAGUCUUGUUUCAGACAGUAUUUCAUUCCUGGCAGAUUAGUUAUUUGAAGUAUAUAUCUGCCAUAUUAUUUUGUCCACAAUCUUAACAUUCCUCCUCUUGUAAUUAGAAACCAUUUUUUUGUAGUUAGACUGAGAUUUUAGGUUUAAAUGUAACAUGUAGCUUUUGCUCUAAUUAUAGUUACAUGCUUCAUGACUAAAUCCACUUCUGUCCUCUUGCUACUGCUUAGUACAGAACCUGGCUUUUAUAUAUUGAAAUUUCAGUAUUUAUUGAAACCUUGUAUUAGUUAUGAUUUGUACAGUGAACUCUUUGGAUUUGCUAAUGGAAGACACACACAUGCACAUAUGCGUGCCAGCUAACUUUAAAAUGCCUUGGCUCCCUCGAAGGCUGGGCACUACAAACCUUCCCCUGCUACCCAAGCCCAGUCUGGGAAGUGGCCACUCACCUGAAUUCUCACAUCGGCUUGCUUUCUUUUUUUUUUUUUUUUAAGAUUCAAAUUUUAAUUUAUUUUGCAUGUAUAUGGACACAAGUGCCAUGGGAUGUAUUCUAGCUUUCUUUUUUUUUUUUUUUUUUUUUUUUUAAGGUUUAUUUAUUUAUGUUCAGCAUUCUGCCUGCAUAUGUGACUGCAGGCCAGAAGAGGGCACCAGAUCUCAUUACAGAUGGUUGUGAGCCACCAUGUGGUUGCUGGGAAUUGAACUCAUGACCUCUGGAAGAGCAGUCAGUGCUCUUAACUGCUGAGCCAUCUCUCCGGCCCUCGGCUUGCUUUCUUGUAGUUCCUGUGUCGCAUCCUUCUAUACAUGGUGAUCUCUCUUCUCUCCCGUGUAUCCUAGCCUGAGCAACUCUCAGGGUUCUUCCCUGUCUCCCUUUGUCCAUCUGUUAGCUGCUGGCAUCAUUAUUGAUGGAUUAAAAACCAAUUGAGGACAAGGACCUUUAGUGCUUGGACAUGCAGAUUCCUGAUUGAAUCAAAGCAUUAGAACCAGUCUCCACCAGUAUACAGCAUAUUACAUAUCAAUUUGUGUACAUUGUGAAAUAUUUCUACAAUCAAGUGAAGCAAUCUAACUAUCACCUCCUAGAGUUACAACUUUUUUAGUAUGUGGUUAUAACACUAGCAAGUUUCAGUUGUAAAAAUAUUAACAGCCAUGGUUACUGUGCUGUUCCUUCAGACUUAUUUUUAUUAUUGAGAGUUUGUAUACUUUGUCUGCCUUCCCAUUUUCCCUCCAUUCAUUUAUUGGCCCUGUCGAGCUCCUCCUCUGCCCAGCUCUUACCCCCAACAGGGCCUUCCUUCUGCUUCCUCCUGCUGAGACUGUAUAGAGAGAGUUUACAUAAGAUCACACUGUACUAGCUUUUUGUCUCUGACAUAUUUCCUCUAGUAUAAUGUCUUCCAGGGUCAAUCUUACUGUUCCAAUGCCAAUGUUUUUAUGGCUUUAGUAAUAAGCCAUUGUGCAUUUACAGACAACACUUUCUUUAUUUAGUCCUCUGUUGACAGACACUAGUGUUUCUCAGCUUUGACCACAGUGAUGAAUGCUGCAGUGAACACGGGAAGGCGGGUGUCAUUGGCAUGGAGGGAUUUUAUUUCCCUUUUGGUAUAUACCUGCAAGGGAGAUUGUCUGACUGUAUGGCACAUGCGUUUUUCACAUGAGGCUCCUUGUUACUAUUUCAUAAUGGUUAUUCCAGAUAUGUUCACUGUCUGACAGUACACAGGAGUUUACGAGCACUUCUGUCUUUUUGAUAGGUAAUAUUUGCUGUGGGGUCUGCUUGAAUCCAACAUGGAUCCAAUGUGACAAACACCAGGUUAAUGCAGAUGACAAAAGUUAUUAUAAUCAAGCCACUACUCGUCAAAUAGACUUACGGGCUGAACUAUGACCCUGAAAGGAUGCUCUAUGACAUAAAGGAUGAAACCAUAAAGCAAGGGUAGUGGGGUGGGUUGUACUAUUGUCCAAUUAUAUUUCCACAUAAGGGGUUGAGCAAGGGAGUUUUCACCAAUUGGAGGAAGUUCCUGGGUCUGGGAACAUGAACAUAGUUUGACGCUGCUAGCAAGAUGGAGUGUUGUCCUUAGAUGGCUGGACUCAUUCAGCUGUUUCCUUAUAGUAGAAGCUGCUCAGCUCAGGAAAAGUCCCCAGCUCCCCUAGGGCUGGGACCUUAAAUGUAGUUUCUCCCUAGGAUUAACUGGAGUCUGAAAACGAAGUGGUGGGACUUAGUUAGGUUCUUUUGCUUGUUCCCAGCACACUGACACAUGAGGUGGUGAUGUCACUGACACAUGAGGUGGUGAUGUCACUGUCACAUAAGGUGGUGAUGUCACUGACACAUGAGGUGGUGAGGUCACUGACACAUGAGGUGGUGAUGUCACUGUCACAUGAGGUGGUGAUGUCACUGACACAUGAGGUGGUGAUGUCACUGUCACAUGAGGUGGUGAUGUCACUGACACAUGAGGUGGUGAUGUCACUGACACAUGAGGUGGUGAUGUCACUGUCACAUGAGGUGGUGAUGUCACUGACACAUGAGGUGGUGAUGUCACUGUCACAUGAGGUGGUGAUGUCACUGACACAUGAGGUGGUGAUGUCAUUGUUCUGGCUUUGACUUUUUUAACGAUAAAUGAUCUGUCACACCCGUUUGUUAUCUUUGGGAAAAGGUUGUAUGUAGGCAUUUUGCCCAUUCUUGAGUUUGCUUUUUCCGCUGUUGAGUUUUGAGUUAAUUAUUCCUUGGGAUAUUUGCCCCUUACUGCAUGAUGAUUUUCCAGUCACUUCUCCCAUUCUGUGGGCUCUCAGUUUGGUGAAUGCUUCUUUGGUUGUGAAGGGCUGGUUGUGAAGAGCUUUUUUGUUUGUUUUGAGAUAGGUCUUGAGGCUGGCCUCAAACCUGAUCCACCUACCUCUGGGUGUGCACCGUCCUGCCCCACUCCAGCUGUGAAGACUCUGGUUUUGCUGUAGCUCCGCUUCUGCACUUCUGCUUAUGCCUCUAGUGUGAAGAUUAAAAAAGGCACUGCUAAGAUCCGUGUCGGAGAUCGAGCUUGCGUUUUCUCCUAGUUGUUUGUGUUCCGCAGAUCUUAGCUGUGGCUUUGCAGUCCCUCUGAAGCUGACGUACCUUCCAUAUAAGAUCAGCCACAGUCCACUGCCCUGCUCUUGGCGCCUUGGUUUUCCUAAUCCUGUUUGUGUACAGAUGGAGAUUUUGUCAAGAGUAGUUUAACAUGUUUUUAUGUUGUCUCCUUAUAUCAUUCCUGGCUUAAGGCCUUGUUCACAUUGAACUUAUUUAUAAAUUGGUAAUUUUAUGAUUACACCACAGAAAAUCUUGGAAAAUUAAUGUUGCAAAAGUCUAGUGUGACGUUUAAGUUCUAGGAAAA